UAAAAGUAGUUAUUAAGUUUUUUUUCUUUAAAGCUUUUGAAACUUAAUAACACUUUAAGUUAACCUUGUUAAGAUCAUUAAUUUUACCUUUCAAAGAUCAAAGAAGAAUUAUUAAAAUCUUUUUCAUCUGAUAACUAAUAAACUAACUAAAUCAUUGAUGCAUAAUUAACUGCAUCAAUGAUUUUUUUUAUUAUUUUUACUGCAAAAAAAUGCAGAUUUAUCUGUUCAAACCAAUGAUUUAAAAAGGCUUUUUUUUAUUAUUAAUCAUUGGUUAUUUUUUACUUGUGAUUUUAGCUUUAAUGCUUAUAAAAAAAUCCAAUGAUAAAAGUUUUUUUAGAAAAGUGUUGUGCAAACUGAUUUGUUGUGCUAUAAUCUUUAAGGCUUAUAUA
rnacentral:misc_RNA from 1 species